rnacentral:rRNA from 1 species
GACGAACGCUGGCGGCGUGCCUAAUACAUGCAAGUCGAGCGGACAGAAGGGAGCUUGCUCCCGGAUGUUAGCGGCGGACGGGUGAGUAACACGUGGGUAACCUGCCUGUAAGACUGGGAUAACUCCGGGAAACCGGAGCUAAUACCGGAUAGUUCCUUGAACCGCAUGGUUCAAGGAUGAAAGACGGUUUCGGCUGUCACUUACAGAUGGAUCCGCGGCGCAGUAGCUAGUUGGUGGGGUAAUGGCUCACCAAGGCGACGAUGCGUAGCCGACCUGAGAGGGUGAUCGGCCACACUGGGACUGAGACACGGCCCAGACUCCUACGGGAGGCAGCAGUAGGGAAUCUUCCGCAAUGGACGAAAGUCUGACGGAGCAACGCCGCGUUAGUGAUGAAGGUUUUCGGAUCGUAAAGCUCUGUUGUUAGGGAAGAACAAGUGCGAGAGUAACUGCUCGCACCUUGACGGUACCUAACCAGAAAGCCACGGCUAACUACGUGCCAGCCGCCGCGGUAA